AUCCACUAUAAUGUUGGCACCAAGAGAUGGAGAUCAUUUUUUCACACACUGUCCUCCUGUGUGUGAUAGCAAAAUAAACGUGGGAUUUGUCUUAUUUUUGCUCUGGUUGCAGAUAUUUUGUUUUUAACUGAUUAUGAGCUAUUUUCUUAACCUCAUUUUGUGAAUUAUGCAUUUAUUCUUCUGAGGUUAGUAUGACAUGUUUUUAUAAUUUUUGUAUUAAUCUGUGUUCUUCUCAAUCAAUGUAUCUUUCUACUCUUUGCCUUUUCUGUUCACAUUAUGCCCUUUUAAAAGAUGCAUUUUAUAAAGACUAAACCGAAAUAAAGAUGGUUACUGUUUUGCAUUUCGGAACCAGUGCAAAUCAAUCUAGCCUUGAUAAUGUAUUUUUGUAAAUAGUUUACAAUGAAAACACACAUACCUACUUCAGAUAUGAAGUUAAUAUUAUGCUGCUUAAAUGUUUUAUUUCAGGCUUAAAAAUCGUAAUACACCCGCGCCUCCUGGUGGAAACAGAGGCUAAAACACUCCGGGAAACAGCGGACACAGAGAUCGUUGCUGUUUGUUUUGCCAUAAAGAACCAUCCGGACCAGGCCGACAGGCAAACGAAGACAGCCACCGCAGAAAUGUCCGGGCUGUUCUGGGUUCCAGACAAAUCUUCCUCCUCAUAAUGUAAAAUCGCCGAACAGGAAGCACUGUUGAAUUCUCGAAAUGCCAUGAAUUUACUAAAUGAUCGCUUUCAUUUAAAUUUUUUGGGGGAAAAAAUAGGUGAUCCCUGAUGGGUACGUUCAUUAAAUUCGUCCCCCAUAGCUUUACAAAAUACAGUUCCAUUUCGAAUUACAAAAAUAAUCGGACAUAAGUUAUCCAGUAUUUUAUAUGAGCUCUCGUGUACGUUGUAAAAUAAUUUCUUGAAUUAAUUCAGAAUGUUUUAUCAUGGAUGUUCAUGUUGUGCUUUUGUGAAAUUCUGUUGCUAAAAAUCAAGAAAAAUGGAGCGGAUCUGAAAACUGGAUCUGCAUGAACCAGCAUUUCGUUGAAAAUCUAUGCGCAGCAUUCAGUAGUCUUGUGUCUAAACACUAUUAAGUAGUUUACUUUCAGCACAAGACGAAAAGGCAAUUUUCUUUGAGAUUUUUUUCUUAAGGUUAAAUCUUUAAAACAAAGGCAAAUAAAUGCCAUGGGUUUUUUUUCCCGCUGACAUUUUCAUGGCUGCCUGUUGAAACCCCACUCAAUAUAGCUGAAGCCCUGUCACUAGUGACCACUAUGGAAGGCACAUUAGUAUAUUUUUCUGCCUUUAACUUUGUAUUUUUAUGUCGUAAAGAAGGCACUUUGAACAGCCUUGUUGCUGAAAUGUGCUAUACAAAUAAACUUGAUUGAUUUAA